rnacentral:tRNA from 1 species
CGACGGCGGGUCGCCCCAGAGCUUCACGCCGUUCUCGUAGAGCGGUACGGCGCGGUUCGGCCCCGUGGCCGUCUG